AAGACACCCACCCCUACUGACCGUGCUACCUGGGCAGGUGCCGCUCUCAGCCCAAGAGUGCUUUCACUGCAUCAGCUGAACAUCCAGAAAAUAAGGGCAAAACCCAGUACCACACACCACACUGUUCCAUACUGUUGUCUGUGUAUACAUGACUGGCCGUCCGAGCCAGAACUGAAGCUUCUCUUAUUUGUUUUUCUUUUUUUUGCAGAGAUGGGGUUUCACUAUGUUGCCCAGGCUGGUCUCAAACUCCCGGGCUCAAGUGAUCCACCCGCCUCGGCCACCCAAGUGUUAGGAUUGCAGGCGUGAGCCCCGUGCCUGGCCUGAAGCUUCUCAAGUGCAGAACCUGCCUUGCUUUUUAUCUCCCUCCAGCUCCUUGAGAUGGUGGGUUUCAAAAGAAAAAUCUGACAGCAAAAAAACAUCCAUGCUACCCAAAGCCUGUCAUUUUAUAGGUCCAUGCCGGGGCCCGGGGACUUCCUCUUAGGUCCAAUGAGAUCACCACGUUUCCCUUGUUUUAGGAGCUGUUUGUUUAUCAGAUUAACAGAAAUUUAUAAGUCUCUACCUACUCUGAUAGCUGGCUGACUCCAAAUCCAGGCUGUAUCAGCAGAAAAAGAUGUCAGUGAACCCUGUGCCUGACUUGAGGAAACUCUGGACAAGUUACCAGAAAAGGUGAUGGAGCCGGGCCUUACCCCCUCACUGCUCAGGAUGUGGACCAGGAGGCCAUUUCCACAUCCCAGGUCCACAAAGGACUGCCUGGCAGUUAGUCUCCUCUCAGCCCUUUCUUCUUCCCAUAGAAUCUAAGUGAAGAGAAAAACAAAACAAAGUCAGGUGGUAAUUCACUCUACGCAAGAAUAAUUUAGACACAAACUGGUCAAAGAAAACUCUGAGUGAAAGGAAACUUGAAAUCAUCUACACUAAACAUUCUUUUUUUUUUUUCUUUUUUUGAGAUGGAGUGUUGCUCUUGCCGCCCAGGCUAGAGUGCAAUGAUGCAAUCUCUGGUCACUGCAACCUCCGCCUCCUGGGUUCAAGCAAUUCUCCUGCCUCAGCCUCCCCAGUAGCUGGAACUAUGGGCUCCUGCCACCACGCCUGGCUAAUUUUGUAUUUUUAGUAGAGACAGGGUUUCACCAUGUUGGCCAGGCUGGUCUCAAACUCCUGACCUCAAGUGAUCUGCCCGCCUCGGCCUCCCGAAGUGCUGGGAAUUACAGGCUUGAGCCACCAAACCCAGCCUACUCUAAACAUUCUUAUAGAUAAGUAAACCAAGAUGAUUAAAUCAGAGGGCAUGUCCAAAUGUAGCCAGCUAGCGAGCCAGCUGAGGAAAGGGCUAGAAGGUUCUAGGCCAGGGCCGGAAGACACGUGUUCCUCAGUGCUUCCCUGUGCCAGCCGGUGCCUCCACGAUGACUGCUGAGUGUGGACGUACAGUUCCGCCUGCAGGUCAAGUUGGAACCCGAGGUCAAGUUUCAAC
rnacentral:lncRNA from 10 species